AGUUUUUCAAAUUGAAAAACAGUUGUCCCCAAGAUCGCCAUGAAGUGUGUUGUCCUAUUUUGCACAUUUGUUGCAUUUCUUAGUAUUGCCAUGCCACCUUAUGAUUGCGAUCCUGAAAGGUUCCGGUGCUCCUGAAAUCCGAAUCUAUCAAAUUAAAGGAUUUUCUUACUUAAAAUAAAAUAUUUUGUUUCCUUAAACCAAUAAAUAAAUUAGAAAAGGGAAUAAAAUAUAAAUGAGUAUGAAUAUACUGUAAUAUCAAUAAACAUUUUGGUUUAAAUAGCACUGCGUAGCAAACUUCUGACUAAGAAUAUAAUACUUAUAUUAUAAUUAUAAUAAUACAAAUUAUAAAUGUCUUAUAUCUAAUACACAUAUCAGUUUAUGCUAGUUAAGUAAAUCAAAGACCCAUGCUAAAUUUAAUUCGAUACAUAUUUUAAACAAUUAGUUACAGUUAAAAUCUAUACAAUGGUCUUUUAGGAGACUUCGGAUUAAAAAAUCAAUCCUUACAAGGCAGCUGAAAAGUAAAGUCAACUUAACGCAAAAAUCAAGAUCGCGAUGAAGUGUCUUGUCCUAUUUUGCACAUUUGUUGCAUUUCUUAGUAUUGCCAUGGAAAAACCUUAUGGUUGCCCAGGAGAAGGGUUCCGUUGCAAUUAUGUCUUAAUUUAAAAAUUUAAAUGAAUAAAGAAUUAAAGCAAAUAAA